CGUUACUGUUUAUAUUUCGAUUGCGUUUCUACGAUUACAAAACGUAACAGGAAUAUCGUAUAACACAACACUUAUACCACAAGGUAUUCCAGCCGAGAUAAGCAUAUUUAUGCACGUCUCAACAUACACGACAAACUGUCUGAUUACGUUGGUAAACUAUUUUCGUAAGAGAACAUUGUGCUGCCCUGUCAAAACUAAGUCUGCAAGGUGGCGACACUGUCGCGCUCGCGUACCGACAUAGCCGACGGUCUUUAUCCAUUAACCAAACAGAAAUAGAGAAGCUCCGCGUGUUAUCCGUAGAGUAUACAGCCAGGCCCGCGUUACACAGAAGUAAAACUCGAUGCUGAAUAAUAACCAACGUCAGUGGCCAUUAGCGUGGCAACGUAAGAGCCUUCGGUUGUAACAAUGGCUGCCUACUGGCUGGCAUACUGACCUUCGACGUCUCGCGACGGAAAUCGGCAUCCUUUAUCAAUCGAGCGUCUCGAAGUGCUCGCUCAUAAACAACAUUGCAGUGUACCAAAGUGAAGUGGUGGACAUAGAAGGGAAUAUAAAAUAAAGAAUGUGAAAAAGUAAAAAGAUGCUUGCAUACUUAUACAGUAAACUGUUGGCCAUAUAGUCACCGCAGCCGGGUGACUGGCUGACUCCGCUUAGCUGGGCUGUCGGGAGGGAGGAGCGUAACCCAUCGCUGGACCCGAAGAUGAAAGUGGAGGCUGGAGGGAUUCUCUCCAAAGGGAUUCUCCUGUGGGUUGGUACUGUGGGCGGCCUUAGAUGAUGAUUUCAUUUAAAUAUUUUAUAAGGAUCGACAAUGCCCGUGCGCAUCCAUUCCACAGCUGCCCACUGCACCUACAGUUACGAUUAACCCUUUUCAAUAUUAUUCACAUGAAAAGGAUAUGGCAGACUAUCCCAUACGGAUACGUCACGUAUGCGUAAAUACGUUCAACCAUAUCCUAUACGGUAUCUGGUAUAUAUAUAUAUAUAACGAUAGACAUGGAGCAGUAGCAGCAGAGGAAAUGUCUGUAAAAUAGGAUUAUCAGCUUGAUAGGUGUUAGAGCAUAAAAUAUCCCACGUGUGGAUUUAGCCAGGGCGCCGAUUAUAAAUUCGAGGAUAAGUAAGCCUAAAACCCCGUGAAUGAUUUUACGCCCCCGACUAGAUCGAGCGUUCGUAAAUCUGAAAAGUUUUAUACGUAUAAAUUCUGUAGGUUAAGCAGUGAGAGGUUAUUAAGGUAAGAAUCGUUUUUCUUAUAGCUUGCGGCGUUAGGGAUUGAAUGUUAUAGGGAUAUAUAGGGAAUUUUUUUUUCUAGUGACAUAUUUUAACUUUGUGAAAUCGAGAGAUGGUGGUAUGCAUGGAAUCGAAAAAUAUAUUUUUUUUUUUUGAAAUUGUAGGGUUGGCUAUUGUAUAUGGGGUAAAAGUUUUAGUUAUUAUGGAUAUACCGUGAGAACCGCGGAGGUACGGUUUAAUUAGCGGGAAUCUUCUGAUUAAUUGAUUCGUUAAGAUAGAACGUGACGUAAUCGAUUGAUACGCCGGUUCAGUUCUGUGCUGCAAGCCUUCAAACGGCAGCCCUCGGAUUCUUCGGUCUCUCAAUCUUUAAAAUUCUUAAGAGACUCUUUCCAUUCAUUUUCUUCCUCUCUCUACUUCUUCAUUUCAUUCUGUCAAACCGAGUAAACAAGUUUUUCUCUUCUGGAAGGCAUAUAAGAUCUUUUGAGCGUAGAUAAAGGAAAUUCGUAAAAGAAUGGAGGGCGCUUCUUACUUUUCCAUGGACAUUGUCGCGCCUCUCGAUCUUAUUGAAAAUUCGAUUUUUCAUCGAUCGUGAAAAACUGAAGUUAACCGGAAGUCAGAUUUUUUUUUAAACAUACAAGGAUAACCAAGCCGUAUGCAUAUAGUGGAAAUUGUAAAAUAAAAAAAAUUUAUAAAUA